ACCAGGAGAGAAAUAAACAGGCAUGUAAAUACCGUUAAAAUUAAAUGGACAUUUGAUUCACAAAAAUAAAUGGAAAAUACUAUUCAGGAUAUACAAACUGAAGAUACUUACUAAAAUCACACUACAAAUAUCUUGAAGCAAGUUCUCGAGCCUCAUAAGAGAUGGGUAUGUAAGUGCCCAUUAAAUAGACAUGUAAAUGACUAUUAAAUAGACAUUUGAGACAUUGAAUUAGACAAAAAUGCGAGAUAUACACGAUGGAAGUACUAAAAAAAAGCACACUGAAAUAGCGCAGAGCCCCUCAUGCACACAUAAUACAUAUACUAAAGUGUACAACGAAGCAGAUUUAGGCAAGCAUACAAUUAAAUAGACCAAUUUCACAUAACUUGAAGGCAAUGAGGAAGGGGGAAACAAAUAAAAAAUCGACCAAACCUACAUAAAACACACUGCAGACAAGAUCAAACAAUUUCUCAGAUAAAAGUAAUAGCCUUUAUACUCGAAGAUACUUCAACAUAAAAUUUAGAUAAUCCAUGUCAAUUCCAUAUCUCUCAGAAAAAGAGCAAAAAGAAAAAGCUAACAACAAAAUGCAGCUAGCUAUAUGUAUUUUAGACAUUAUAGGUAGGUAGUCC
rnacentral:lncRNA from 1 species